CCUUGUUCACCCUGGUCCCUAUAGAUGGUCCCUGUUCACUCUGGUCCCUACUGAUGUCCCUUGUUCACCCUGGUCCCUAUAGAUGGUCCCUGUUCACUCUGGUCUCUACUGAUGUCCCUUGUUCACCCUGGUCCCUAUAGAUGGUCCCUGUUCACUCUGGGCUCUACUGAUGUCCCUGUUCACUCUGGUCCCUAUAGAUGGUCCCUUGUUCACUCUGGGCCCUACUGAUGUCCCUGUUCACUCUGGUCCCUAUAGAUGGUCCCUUGUUCACUCUGGGCGCUAUAGAUGGUCCCUGUUCACUCUGGUCCCUACUGAUGUCCCUUGUUCACCCUGGUCCCUAUAGAUGGUCCCUGUUCACUCUGGGCUCUACUGAUGUCCCUGUUCACUCUGGUCCCUAUAGAUGGUCCCUUGUUCACUCUGGGCCCUACUGAUGUCCCUGUUCACUCUGGUCCCUAUAGAUGGUCCCUUGUUCACUCUGGGCCCUAUAGAUGGUCCCUGUUCACUCUGGUCCCUACUGAUGUCCCUUGUUCACUCUGGUCCCUAUAGAUGGUCCCUGUUCACUCUGGGCUCUACUGAUGUCCCUGUUCACUCUGGUCCCUAUAGAUGGUCCCUUGUUCACUCUGGGCCCUAUAGAUGGUCCCUGUUCACUCUGGUCCCUACUGAUGUCCCUUGUUCACCCUGGUCCCUAUAGAUGGUCCCUGUUCACUCUGGGCUCUACUGAUGUCCCUGUUCACUCUGGUCCCUAUAGAUGGUCCCUUGUUCACUCUGGGCCCUACUGAUGUCCCUGUUCACUCUGGUCCCUAUAGAUGGUCCCUUGUUCACCCUGGUCCCUACUGAUGCCCCUUGUUCACCCUGGUCCCUACUGAUGCCCCUUGUUCACCCUGGUCCCUAUUGAUGUCCCUUGUUCACUCUGGGCCCUAUAGAUGGUCCCUGUUCACCGUGGUCCCUAUAGCUGGUCCCUAUUCAUGUCUCUGUUCUCUCCAUAGGGGCGACCACCGGCAGGACCGCCGCGAG
rnacentral:lncRNA from 1 species